UCAUUGCUAGGCUGCAGAGGACGCUUUUGUUAGUUUUCGACCGGAUAUAUUGUACUUGUUUAAUACAAAAUUGCCAGAUAAAUUCAAUUGCGUGUUUGUGAAAAUUGUAUAAAUCUUGUUAUAUUUUUAUUGCACAUAGUCUCAAUACGAAACAGUGCACGAAAUAUUAAAUUUCAUUAUAAGAUACUUGACUGGAGCAUUGUUAGACGAAGUCAAGCUUUUGUCUAUGUGUGGGUGUCAAAUUUUUCAGUAGUGUGCGUGCAACAGAACUCGCUUGUCGCGUUGCGGUGCGUGUGCUUUCUACAAUUGACUUUCAACGCCUCGCAGUUCGCGAAGGCGUGGUGGUAGCCGUAGGCAGCGGACCGGGGCGGCAGAGCGAGGGGUGCGGCGGCGGAGCGCGCG